rnacentral:rRNA from 1 species
AUUAUGGAGAGUUUGAUUCUGGCUCAGAACGAACGCUGGCGGCGUGGAUAAGACAUGCAAGUCGAACGGAGUGACUUCGGUCACUCAGUGGCGCACGGGUGAGUAACACGUGAGCAACCUGCCUCCGAGACGGGAAUAGCCCCGGGAAACUGGGAUUAAUGCCCGAUAGACUCGCAAGAGUAAAUGCAGCAAUGCGCUUGGAGAGGGGCUCGCGGCCUAUUAGUUAGUUGGCGGGGUAACGGCCCACCAAGGCGAUGACGGGUAGCCGGUCUGAGAGGAUGUCCGGCCACACUGGAACUGAGACACGGUCCAGACACCUACGGGUGGCAGCAGUCGAGAAUCAUUCACAAUGGGGGAAACCCUGAUGGUGCGACGCCGCGUGGGGGAGGAAGGUCUUCGGAUUGUAAACCCCUGUCAUGCAGGAGCAAAGCGCAAGCCUGAUAGUACUGCAAGAGGAAGAGACGGCAAACUCUGUGCCAGCAGCCGCGGUAAUACAGAGGUCUCAAGCGUUGUUCGGAAUCACUGGGCGUAAAGGGUACGUAGGCUGCACCAUAAGUCGUGCGUGAAAGGCAGGGGCUCAACCUCUGGAGUGCGCGUGAUACUGUGGUGCUGGAGUAAUGGAGGGGGAACCGGAAUUCUUGGUGUAGCAGUGAAAUGCGUAGAUAUCAAGAAGAAGACUCGUGGCGAAGGCGGGUUCCUGGACAUUAACUGACGCUGAGGUACGAAGGCUAGGGUAGCGAAAGGGAUUAGAUACCCCUGUAGUCCUAGCAGUAAACGGUGCACGCUUGGUGUGCGGGGAAUCGACCCCCUGCGUGCCGGAGCAAACGCGUUAAGCGUGCCGCCUGGGGAGUACGGUCGCAAGAUUAAAACUC